rnacentral:rRNA from 1 species
UGCCAGCAGCCGCGGUAAUACGAAGGGGGCUAGCGUUGUUCGGAAUUACUGGGCGUAAAGCGCGCGCAGGCGGCCUUUCAAGUCAGGGGUGAAAGCCCGGAGCUCAACUCCGGAAUUGCCUUUGAAACUGCAAGGCUCGAGUACGGGAGAGGUGAGUGGAAUUCCCAGUGUAGAGGUGAAAUUCGUAGAUAUUGGGAAGAACACCGGUGGCGAAGGCGGCUCACUGGCCCGUAACUGACGCUCAGGCGCGACAGCGUGGGGAUCAAACAGGAUUAGAUACCCUGGUAGUCCACGCCGUAAACGAUGAACGCUAGCCGUUGGCAGGCUUGCUUGUCAGUGGCGCAGCUAACGCAUUAAGCGUUCCGCCUGGGGAGUACGGCCGCAAGGUUGAAACUCAAAGGAAUUGACGGGGGCCCGCACAAG